ensembl:piRNA 21ur-7841 ncRNA
UUAGUAUUCAUCAAAAAAAAA